rnacentral:snRNA from 1 species
AGGCAAUCUGUCUACAACAUCAAUCACCUGACUGAUCACUAGGGUUGAUUUUGUUGACCUGGCUAACAAGGUUGGUAUCCCCUUACGAGCUCCAUUUUUGUUCCUUCUGAAGUUGAGCACUGGAUCAAAGUGACAUUCCCAGAAGAGAGGAGGACUAGUCCUCAAUAAAGAGCAUACAAGUG